AAAAAAUAUAUAGUACCGUAGACAGUAGGAGGAUAAAAUCCUUAAAUAUUCCUACCGAGGAACUUAACAAAUUAAGUUUAUCGAAUUCCCUACGGUUUAGUGUAGGGAAUUUUUUAUU
rnacentral:sRNA from 1 species